CCAUCCUUGUAUCAGAUUGGAUUUUGCACCUGAGUCUGACAUCGUAGAAGGACCAUUCUUGCAUCACAUUGGAUUUUGCACCUGAGUCUGACAUCGUAGGAGGACCAUUCUUGCAUCAGAUUGGAUUUUGCACCUGAGUCUGUCAUCGUAGAAGGACCAUUUUUGCAUCAGAUUGGAUUUUGCACCUGAGUCUGACAUCGUAGAAGGACCAUUCUUGCAUCAGAUUGGAUUUUGCACCUGAGUCUGACAUCGUAGAAGGACCAUUCUUGCAUCAGAUUGGAUUUUGCAGCUGAGUCUGACAUCGUAGAAGGACCAUUCUUGCAUCAGAUUGUAAGUAAUUAAUUUCUUUAUCAUUUUCCUGUAUAACUUUUGUGAUUAUCUUACAAAUUGACCCCCAAAAUUGCAUUUUUCUGUUCGAA